rnacentral:lncRNA from 1 species
AUAUAUUCACCCUCAUAAUCUCCAACUGUAAUACUGCACCUUCACAGCUUUCAACACACAAUUACCCUCGUUCCAAUCAUUGGAAUUCUUCACACAGAACUGCCAUUCACAUUACAGUGUUUCAAACAAACAGAGACUCAUUCUCUCUGCAGAAUUAUAAUCAGAUUUCAGCAUUCAAUCUUUCUUCUUCUCAAAUAAUACCAAUUACAUUUCCAUUCUAUAAUUCACUUCACAAUAUUCAAAAACUUUCAAUCCUCUUAUUCAAAGAAAAUAACAAACAAAAGAAAAGAGGUAGCACCAAGCUUACUCCGGCUCACAACUCUCACAGUCUGGCAUUUUCUUCCCCUCUCCCAUCUUCCUUAUACUACCCCAAAAUACCAACUCCUAUACUAUAGAUGAUAACUACUUUUCUUGACUAUUCAU